ACUCCUGCGGGAGGCAGCAGUGGGGAAUUUUGGACAAUGGGCGAAAGCCUGAUCCAGCAAUGCCGCGUGAGUGAAGAAGGCCUUCGGGUUGUAAAGCUCUUUUGUCAGGGAAGAAACGGUGAGAGCUAAUAUCUCUUGCUAAUGACGGUACCUGAAGAAUAAGCACCGGCUAACUACGUGCCAGCAGCCGCGGUAAUACGUAGGGUGCAAGCGUUAAUCGGAAUUACUGGGCGUAAAGCGUGCGCAGGCGGUUUUGUAAGUCUGAUGUGAAAUCCCCGGGCUCAACCUGGGAAUUGCAUUGGAGACUGCAAGGCUAGAAUCUGGCAGAGGGGGGUAGAAUUCCACGUGUAGCAGUGAAAUGCGUAGAUAUGUGGAGGAACACCGAUGGCGAAGGCAGCCCCCUGGGUCAAGAUUGACGCUCAUGCACGAAAGCGUGGGGAGCAAACAGGAUUAGAAACCCGAGUAGUCCCAUGAU
rnacentral:rRNA from 1 species